GUCGAUCCAUUUGGGAAACGUUGUGUGCGCUUCGGCGUGCAUCUCAAUUGGACCUGAUAUC
rnacentral:rRNA from 1 species